rnacentral:rRNA from 1 species
AGAGUUUGAUCCUGGCUCAGGACGAACGCUGGCGGCGUGCUUAACACAUGCAGGUCGAACGAAAAGACGGAAAGAGCUUGCUCUUUCCGAGUUUGAGUGGGGUGAGUAACACUAACACGUCCUGCCCUGCCUUCAGGGAUAACUCUUGGGAACGAUACGACUGCUAAUACCGAAUAGGAUGUUGGAUGAGCUUUGCUUAAAAGGGGCAAUUGCGUCACUACCAGAUGGACCUGCGCUGUAUUAGCUAGUUGGUGGGAUUACGUCUCAGCAAGGCGACGAUACAUACCCGACCUGGGAGGGUAGUCGGCCUGACUGGAUGAGAGACACCACUGAAACUGAUACAGGGGCCAGACUCCUACGGUAUGCGGCAAUGGACAAUCUUCUGAACGAGCAAAAAGCCUGACGUAAAGAAGCCUUUCGAGUCAUAAAGCUCUUCGGUUUGAAAAGAUCUGGGAUCAGAGACGAAAAUUCAGACUGCGAAGAAAUCUUAGCAUUGAGGGACCCGUAAAUGCAUGCCAGGAGUCACUACGUGCCAGCGGCCGCGAUAAUAGUUAGGAUUUAUUGGUUGUCCGGAAUUAUUGGGCGUAAAGAUAGGUCUGGAGUUUCCCAAGUCCCUCUUAAAAGUGCGGGCUUUGACCACUGUGAUAACUUGAAAACUGGAAAGCUGGAGUAUCUUCGAGGAAAGUGGAAUUCCUACGUGUGACGUGUAAAUGCACACAGAUUACGAAGAACACUCUCUGCGAUGUCAAUUAUCUUGACGAUAACUGACGCUGAGAGCGAAAGCGAUGAGAGCAAUGGGAUUAGAUACCCUAGACGUCCACGCUAAAAGUAUGAAUAUUAGCGGUAGGAGGUAUCGACCCCUCCUGUUCAGCACUCACCCUAUAGGUUC